rnacentral:rRNA from 1 species
GGGGAAUCUUGCGCAAUGGGCGAAAGCCUGACGCAGCGACGCCGCGUGAGCGAUGAAGGCCUUCGGGUUGUAAAGCUCUGUGGAGAGGGACGAAUAAGGGCUGGCGAAUACCCAGCCUGAUGACGGUACCUCUUUAGCAAGCACCGGCUAACUCUGUGCCAGCAGCCGCGGUAAGACAGAGGGUGCAAACGUUGUUCGGAAUUACUGGGCGUAAAGCGCGUGUAGGCGGCUAUGCAAGUCGGAUGUGAAAUCCCGCGGCUCAACCGUGGAAGUGCAUCCGAAACUGCGUGGCUAGAGUCCCGGAGAGGAAGGUGGAAUACUUGGUGUAGAGGUGAAAUUCGUAGAUAUCAAGUGGAACACCGGUGGCGAAGGCGGCCUUCUGGACGGUGACUGACGCUGAGACGCGAAAGCGUGGGUAGCAAAC